rnacentral:lncRNA from 1 species
GUGACAUCCAUAUGACCGAGUUCAAAGGUCACUUUGUAGUCUUUAUCUUACAUGUUCUCUUGGAGUGAAUUCUGUGACCUACAUUCUUGAAGAUUUUUCUUCUCCCCCUUGCUCCACUUUUGCUGACACCAUACACCCUCAGAUUGUCUUUCUCUUCAGUUAAUUUUUCUUAGUCUGCUCUCCGUUGACGCCUUGAAAGAGCCUCAGGAUCAGAUCCUCAGACCUCUCCUCAGAAGACACAUAAUCCUCUGGUGCACACUGGAUGAUCUAACCAUUCUGAUGUCCCAACAGCUGAAUGCACACUUAAUGAGAUCCAGAUCUGCAUAUAUAAAUGCCUUUUGGACAGCUGGCUUGCCUAUCAACAUGGUGAUUCUCUGUGUCUUUGCCCAAGAGGAGGUUUGUGGCUGGAUUUCUCUGCCUUAUUUCUGAAUGAAGAACAGGAUUUGAGGAUAACAGAAGAAUCAGGUUUGAAGAGAACCAUAGUUUUCCACAUUAGAAAGUUCUGCGAUCCAGACACAGCAAGGGCAUAUUGGCAGCACUCUUUGCUAUAGUAUAUGCCUCCAGGAGGCUGGGUCUUUGCCAGAGUCCCUCUAUUCUAGAAAACAGAGGAAUGAACCCCCAAAGACCCUACAGUUUGGGGCUCAUUCAAGUGGACUAGUGAUGAGAAGAACUGUCAGUUCUAGUCUAUCUGAAGACACCUGGUCCCCACCAGAACCUUCAUAAUGACCUGGAUUCAAUUUCCAACAGUCAAGUGGGAUUGGGGCUCCAAGAUUAAAUGAAAUCAUCAUAACUAAAGUAAUAAUGGAAUUAUUCCAUUAAAUAUGGAAGGAACUCCACUUGCCUGCCUUUCAAGUGCAAGGUCCUGAGUUCAAUCCCUGGCACCAAAAAAAAAAACCUUUAAAAAAUGGAAGGAACUAUCGUGGUGAGAUGACCGUUAGUUUAUUUAAUUUGUGUCUAUUAUUUAUUGAAACUAAGCCUAGAAAAAUCUUGCACACUGUAAGAAAUGUGCCUUGUUGGGGUUGAAUACACCAAGGGUUGACUUCUGUCAGCAUCUUUGUCCUCUUUUCCCUACACCAGCUCCUUCUGGGCUCCAUGUUUUCCCAUGGGGCAUGUUCUCUUAAGAAAGACUAUUGACACCUUGAAAUCCAUUGUAUGUCCUUUCCUAUAUCUCUGAAUAAGUUUUUCAGAGUUGGAAAGGACUACAUUUCUUCCCCAAUGAUAACUAUCUGAUCCCAGAAGAGCAACUUAGAGUCAUACCACAUGACAAGAGGACCAGAUUGUUGGUCCUUAAUUCUCUGGGACCAUGUGUCUUUUUGGAGUUGGUGGUAAAACAAAAUAAAAAUUUAAAAAUCUAGUAAGGAAUUGUUUGCAUUGUUGCUGCUUCUGUGGUUUGAUGGUGAAGGAUAUUUUAUCAUAUCAAGACUGUGCUACAGCUGGAAAGGGAUUCACUCAGUGCAAGUGAAAGGCUAGGACAGGAAAUGCCGGCUUUUUUGACCUCUGAAAGCAUUUAUUUGACAUCAUCUCAUGUAUCUAUUGCUUUUUGGUAGAAGACAUAAAUAAUUUCCAUGUUCUUUUAAAGCCCUGCUGUGGCUUGCUUC